rnacentral:rRNA from 1 species
AUGAUGAGCUGUGUGGCGCCACCACCCAUGUUGCCCCAGCCUGCAGCCAAGCCAUUGACCGUGCCAAUGAUCUUGCUAUUGAACAUGGUGCUCAUCCAGUACUGGCACGACACGAAGGUGGCGAGGGAGAAGCCAAUAAGGAAGCGGACGGCAAUGUACCCUGAAGCAUCAUCGAUGACGGCCAUGCAGAAGACGGUGGGCGCCGAGAGCAUGACCAGGAAGGCGCAGCCCUACCGCGGUCCAAGGAGAUCGCAGACAGCGCCCAUGGCCAGCCUGGAGAAGAUGGAACCGGACACAGACGCGACACCGGCAUUGCCGAUGUCUGCCUUGGCGAGGUUGAGGUUGUCGCGGAUGAUGGGCACCAGCGGCGCCGCGGCGAAGGUGGAGACGAAGCAGGUGAAGAAGGAUAUCCAAGAGAGGUGGAAGGUGCGCAUAUGA